GUAGGACCUAACCUCACAAUAUGUAGCAGCACUUCAUGAUCCUACUUUGAUUAUUCCAACUUGACCUUAAGUUAUAUGUGAGAAUUAUAUAUUCAUCAUGUCUCCAUGUUUUGUCAGAUAAGCUGGAGACCAAAAAGAAAAAAAUAUUUAGGAACUAAGGAGACGGCAUAUUUAUGAUAUAGCAUUCAUGCAUGUUACCUUGUACAUAUUCUUUUUUUUUUAAAGG
rnacentral:lncRNA from 1 species